rnacentral:snoRNA from 1 species
AACCCAUGGUGAGGGCACUGAUUAGUGUAGCUCUUGAUUUUUCCUAGGCUUCACCAAAUGCCUCAUUGUUGUGUUGGGUGAAGGAAGAGAUCUGAUUCCUGAGCUU